GAUGAAGAACGUAGCGAAAUGCGAUAAGUAAUGUGAAUUGCAGAAUUCAGUGAAUCAUCGAAUCUUUGAACGCACAUUGCGCCCCUUGGUAUUCCGAGGGGCAUGCCUGUUCGAGCGUCAUUAUAACCCCUCAAGCUCAGCUUGGUGUUGGGGCCUGCUGCACUGGCAGCCCUUAAAAUCAGUGGCGGCGCCGUCUGGCUCUAAGCGUAGUAAUUCUUCUCGCUAUGGAGUCCUGGUGGAUGCUUGCCAUCAACCCCCAAUUUUUCUAUGGUUGACCUUGGAUCAGGUAGGGAUACCCGCUGAACUUAAGCAUAUCAAUAAGCGGAGGA
rnacentral:misc_RNA from 1 species